UACGUAGGUCCCGAGCGUUGUCCGGAUUUAUUGGGCGUAAAGCGAGCGCAGGUGGUUUAUUAAGUCUGGUGUAAAAGGCAGUGGCUCAACCAUUGUAUGCAUUGGAAACUGGUAGACUUGAGUGCAGGAGAGGAGAGUGGAAUUCCAUGUGUGGCGGUGAAAUGCGUAGAUAUAUGGAGGAACACCGGUGGCGAAAGCGGCUCUUUGGCCUGUAACUGACACUGAGGCUCGAAAGCGUGGGGAGCAAACAGG
rnacentral:rRNA from 1 species